UAGGGAAUCUUCGGCAAUGGGGGGAACCCUGACCGAGCAACGCCGCGUGAGUGAAGAAGGUUUUCGGAUCGUAAAGCUCUGUUGUUAAGGAAGAACGAGUGUGAGAAUGGAAAGUUCAUACUGUGACGGUACUUAACCAGAAAGGGACGGCUAACUACGUGCCAGCAGCCGCGGUAAUACGUAGGUCCCGAGCGUUGUCCGGAUUUAUUGGGCGUAAAGCGAGCGCAAGCGGUUAGAUAAGUCUGAAGUUAAAGGCAGUGGCUCAACCAUUGUAGGCUUUGGAAACUGUUUAACUUGAGUGCAGAAGGGGAGAGUGGAAUUCCAUGUGUAGCGGUGAAAUGCGUAGAUAUAUGGAGGAACACCGGUGGCGAAAGCGGCUCUCUGGUCUGUAACUGACGCUGAGGCUCGAAAGCGUGGGGAGCGAACAGG
rnacentral:rRNA from 1 species